rnacentral:rRNA from 1 species
UAGGGAAUCUUCGGCAAUGGGGGGAACCCUGACCGAGCAACGCCGCGUGAGUGAAGAAGGUUUUCGGAUCGUAAAGCUCUGUUGUUAAGGAAGAACGAGUGUGAGAAUGGAAAGUUCAUGCUGUGACGGUACUUAACCAGAAAGGGACGGCUAACUACGUGCCAGCAGCCGCGGUAAUACGUAGGUCCCGAGCGUUGUCCGGAUUUAUUGGGCGUAAAGCGAGCGCAGGCGGAAAUGCAAGUCAGGUGUAAAAGGCAGUAGCUUAACUACUGUAAGCAUUUGAAACUGCAUAUCUUGAGAAGAGUAGAGGUAAGUGGAAUUUUUAGUGUAGCGGUGAAAUGCGUAGAUAUUAAAAAGAAUACCGGUGGCGAAGGCGACUUACUGGGCUCAUUCUGACGCUGAGGAACGAAAGCGUGGGUAGCAAACAGG